GGAGAUAUAGCUCAGUUGGUUAGAGUACAUGCCUCACAUGCACAAGGCCUGGGUUCAAUCCCCAGUACUGCCA
rnacentral:tRNA from 1 species